rnacentral:rRNA from 1 species
GGACUACAGGGGUAUCUAAUCCCGUUCGCUACCCACGCUUUCGUGUUUCAGCGUCAGGAGCGCGCCAGUAAGGUGCCUUCGCAUUUGGUGUUCCCCAUGAUAUCAACGGAUUUCACCCCUACACCAUGAGUUCCCCUUACCUCUCGCGUCCUCGUAGCUGUGCCGUAUCUGUCGCACUUCCUGGGUUGAGCCCUGGAGCUUUAACGACAGACUAACAAUGCCGCCUACACACCCUUUACGCCCAGUGAUUCCGGAUAAUGCUCGGGGCCUCUGUAUUACCGCGGCUGCUGGCAC